rnacentral:ncRNA from 2 species
GUCGAAAUUAAGUAGACAAUUCGUAUAAUUACCCUAAUCGGUGGGAAAGUCUCUACGCUGGACCGUAAUUCAGCACUACGAAUAAAGAUCUAUAUUUU